rnacentral:sRNA from 1 species
CACACACACACACCAGAAAAAGGAACAACCUGGAAGGUUCUGUCUGCUCUUCUCAUUGUUCAUGUAGAAGUUCAGACGUGGCUCAGGAUAGGUGGGAGCACUCUUGUCAUGGUUAGGCUCAGGGAGGAGGCAUGGUUGGGGAACUCUCUAGCUGACCCUUCCCUAAAAUGUUCCAGAGUGGCUUUCCCAGAGUUCCCCUCAACACGAACCCUGUGGGCUCGCCAACCUUUACUGCCCAGUGACUCAAUUUCCCCACUGAUAAAAAGGGGGAACAGGUCUACAGUUCUAAACUUGCCUGUAAAACAUGGCGGAGAGCCUUGAAAUAAAGGUGGUAUUUAGGGAGAGUUCAAAGUGUUAUGUAAUUAUUUUAUUGCCCCUUUUAUUCCUGAGAUUUUUCUAUUUGCUCAGCUUACAAACCCAGGCCAGAGUCAUAAAACCACUUUUAUGCCAGUGCCUCUUGGACCUCAUCAUGUAACAACGGCGUAUCACUUUGGCUCUGAAAGUGUUUAGAUCCACGGUGGAGACAUGCCCAACGGGAACCUCAGCCAUUUCUGCCAAGUGAAGGUCAUUACUGUACCCUGAAACUGCUGGGACCAUGUAUAUUUUUUUAAGCCUCCCAAUGACCACCUCGGUGCCAUGAUUGAAUUAAACGGACAAUGAGGUUGGUCUGAAGUACCGACCUAUGUUUCAUACCUCCUUGCUUUUCUGUUUGUUUUUUGUUUGUUUUUGUUUUGUCUUUUCUUUUCCUUUACCCUCUCUUCCUUCAGUUGUUUCCCAAUCCCCUUUCCUUAGUUUGAGACGUAGCCUCACUAUGGCCCAGACUGGCUUGAGCUCACUACACGGCUAGCACAGUUAGCUUCAGCUUCUAGGCAUACCCUCAAACCUUUUUAACUUUGCUAUUUUUUGGAGAAAGGGUCUCAGGUGGUCCUGGCUGGCUUUGAACUCAAUGGGUAGCUAAAACUGGCCUUGAACUUCCAUUCCUCCCAGGGGAUUACAGGUGUGUGCAACCCUACCCAAUCUCCCCUCGCUCUUCUAGACACAGAGCUGGAUCUCACCACAAUCCUUUCCUGGUACCGUCACUCAAAGCCACAGGAAGCAAGGAGUUGCAAGUUGGAAGAGGCCCCAUUGGCUGUUGACUGCCAAGCAAGUCAGAGUGGCUCUUAUGGUGUCCCAGGGUACAGUGGUAGGGGAACCCAUUCCCCUGCUUGGGGGGAGACACCCAACUCUACAUGUGGGCCUGCUGUCCUGUAAGUCUCAGCUCUGCCGUGCACUUGUCUCUGAUGCCAACUUUGGAGGGCAGAGGCAGAGGCAGGGGAGAACUCUGACAUCUCAAGAAACAGAAGUCAGGUCAUGGGCACAUUUCCACUGGUGCUUCUUUCUUUACUUUAAAAACCUGCACGUGCAGUGUCCUGUUAGAGGAGCCACUGAUUGGGGUUAAUUUAUAGGAAUGGGGCAGCAGUCUUGUUGCUUUUCUGAUCUUCACCUUCCUCUUCCACUCAAAGCAAGAACCUUCUGACCCCACCACAUAAAGGCAAGAAAAGCCUCACCUGCACCAACAGGAGCUGUCCUCAAGCCCUCAUGCUUGAUCGUAGGCAUUCAGUGCUAUUCUUCAAGCCCGACUGUGCAAUUCAUCUGUAGGACCAGGGGAUUCAGACCAGAUCCUGGGCUUGAGAAAAUUACAGACACUUCGGGAGGUAGAAGAUUCCACCUGGACAAGACCACUGGGUGCCUCGCCUCCAGGAAACCUCAUUUCUAAAAUACUGGAGAGUCUCAGUGGUCAUCCUGGAGCCCUUUGAGGCAUCGCUAAUGGUCCCCCCAGAGAUCUACCUACCCUCUUCUGUAUGGCAGUACCUUCUGCCAUAGAAGCAAGGUUUUGAGCUUAUGGUGGCCUCUGUCUGUCCUCAUUCUCCUUCCCCACAACCACCCUCCUGGCUCAAGCUUUUGGUGUCCCACAUCAGGAUCUUGUUAAUAUGUUCCUGUCACAGUUCUCCAUCUAGGCCUGCUUCCUCCAGCUUGCUGCAACAAGACAGUUGUUAUAUCUGGGCCUGAUGGUGCCCUUCCUAUCUACCUAGGAGCCUGAGGCAGGCGGACGGAAACUUCAAGACCUGGCUGGGCUAUAGAGUGAGUUCAAAGUCACCUUGGAUGACAUAAUCAGACCCUGGCUCCCUAGCAAAGCCCCCAGUCUGACCUCAGAACCAGUUUCUGACACCACAGAAUUUGCUGUGAACCACCUCAGUCAUCUAGGAGCACAGUACAACCUCACCCCUCAUCCCACAAGUGCACACACAGACAAAGGAAGAGGAAGAGAGAAAGAAAUGGAGGAGAAGCAUGGAGAAAAAAGGUGAGAUGGAGACCAGGAGAAGAGGAGAAGGACGGGGCAAGAGGUGUCAUAUCUGUAUGCUCUACCCUCCACUGAGAUGGAGACCAGGAGGUGUCCUCCACUGAAUCCCUCUGUAGCUUCCUGUCGUCCAUAAAAACUGAACGUGGACCAGAUCAGUCCCCACCCAUUUCCCAGCCCCUCCCCUCUCUCCUUGUGCUUCUCCAUCCACAGCAUCAAGUGCACACAGGCAGAACUCUUUUCUGCCUCAGGACCUAUGCACCCUCAUCUCGAUGAACUCAUGCAGUUUCUCCAGAAGGGUAGACGUUGUCCUGUCUCAACUCCAAGGCUUUCUUUCCUACAAUAGUUACUUUAUAUUUAAUCAUCCGUCCGGGUGUUUCUUUUUAUCAUCCAUCCCCUUUUCCCUUAUUCUGAUCAGUGUUCAACGGUGUCCAUGAUGAGCAAGCUGGGCAUGGAUGUACAUAUCCGUAACCUCAGGAAUUAUGGGAUUGAAGCCAGCUGAAGGUUCCAAGAAGGUUCAAGGCUAUCUUCGCCAUAUAGCAAGAUAUUGUCCACAGAAAUGAAAGGGGAGGGAGAAACGAGUGGGGGAGGGGGAAAGUACAAGAGAAGACAGGGGGGAAGGGGAGGGAGAAGGUGACAGGAGAGGUAAGCAGCCAGUGAAGCACCAAGCCCUCUGUCCUUUUCUCCCCAACAGCCCCACUGAAGACAAUCUUCUAACUAUGAAGAGAAGCGCUUCACUCUUGCUGAGCCCUGGCCAGACACAGCUUUCUGCAAUAUUCACAGACCUCUCUGAUCUCCAUGGACUCUGUAUGCCCAGUGCCCUGUGUGGCUGUUACCCUACAGGGGUCCUGCAAGGCUCUGUAGACAUCUUGGCCCAGUUAGAACCAGUGGUUGGGGAUUUCUGGGUAGAAGUCACCUUGUGUUCAAACCACCCUGCUUGCCAAGGUGCUAAACAUUACACCGAAGCUGCUUGGGGACCACGGUCUGACACAGUGCAGUUCUGUUCCCAUUCAGGGCAAUGGGAUGGGGAGGUAGCCACCCAGUGAGGGAGAGGUACACGCUGGUCAUGUGCUGGAGGACCUCCCCAGCCUGCAGUCUGUGUUGUGCGUGCACAGAGGCUCCACUCUUGUUCCAAAGUCCCAACCAGCCUCCGGUUUGUUGUUGGAACUGGAGCUGGUGAUUUGCUUUAAAUAGGCCCUGCACAGGCCUCAGUCUGUUUUUUUUAUUUUAUUUUAUUUUUUUUAUUGAAUGAGUCCUGAAGGUGCUUUCCAAGAAAUAAGGAAAAACCAACCUUACAGUGGGGACUCUGAGCUGAAAGGAAGGUGGCAGAGCCUUUCCCUGCAGCUGGAAGGCUGUAGCCAUGCAAAGUGUGGCCUGGGAGGCAGAAGGCUUGAUAGGAGUCUUCAGGGAGCCACGGAGCCCAUGGAGGGCAAGCCUCUCUCUCUCAAGCAUGGGACACUGCAAUCUGCAGCACUGUUAUGUGCUUCUGGGCACACAAGGAGGACCACACGCGUGUUUCAUGAACAUUCUGAGCUGGUGAGCAAAGAGCCUCUGAGGUGAGCUCAAAGGACAGGAAACAGUGUGUUCCAGGGUUAUGUGGGGCUGUGGGUGAGAGGCUGUUGGAAGGCAGAUCCGUCACUGUGGGAAGGUGUGGCUGAGCAUGGCGGUGGGAGCAGGUGGCAGAGGACAGCUGUUUGCAUCAGAGCAGACAGGAAGUGAAAAAGGGGAGGCCAGAGCCUAGGAAACAUGGCUGGUGUCCUCGAACAUCCCCUCAGGGUGAGAGAGGCAAAGAGGUCAAACGAGAUGGUUAACCGAAGCCUGAAGGUGAGAGAAAGCCAGUCAAGCAGCCUUCUGAGAGAAGGCCCCAGGCCAGGCCAGCUGCCGGUGAUGGAGAGGACCAAGGGGGUGAGAAGCAGGCAGAGGAGGAAGGCAUGGGAUGUCACCAAGGGCCUUGGAGGCUGUGUUGAUUUGAAUAAGAAUGGCUCCUGUGUUUGAAUGCUGAAUCAUCAGGAAGUGGUACUAUUUGAGAAGGAUUAGGAGGUGUGGUCUUGUUAGAGUAGGUGUUGCUUUGUUGGAAGAAAGUAUGUUGCUGAGGUAGGUGGUCUUUGAGAUUAAAAAGCUCAUGCCAGACACAAGUCUCAUAUUCUCUCUCUCUCUCUCUCUCUCUCUCUCUCUCUCUCUCUCUCUCUCUAUCUCUAUCUCUAUCUCUUCUCUCUCUUCUCUGCUGAAGAUCAGGAUAUAGCUGCCUCUCCAGGACCACGUCUGCCUGUUGCCAUGCUCCCUGGUGUGAUGAUAAUAGACAUUGUAAGCCAGCCCCCCCCAGCCUUUCACAUCAUUCCUCCUCCCCACAGCCCCUCAGCUCUGAGCAUCCGCAGUUCUUCCUUAUCUGUUUAGCUCUGACCUCACCGUUUGGUUUUGGAGAGCUGGAGCUUCUGGCUACUCCUUUCAUCAGCAGAGAUUUCUCCUCCCCCUGUUCUCCCUAGCCCACCGUGUCCACGAUUUAAGUACCGCCGUGCACCUCACUACCUCGGGGAAAACUCUUCUCCCAGGUUUCUGCAGGUUUCUCCCAAGUUUCUGUGUUGUAUGGAAGGGCUGUGUGUUGUGUGAAACUUUCCCUACGGAGACCACGUGCACACACACAAACACACCUGCUCGCCCCAGAUAGGGAACCCACGAUAGGCCAAAGGAAUAACUACACCAAAGUCCAGCUUGUUGAACCAGUGAGUUUACUGGGCUUACUAACAGGAGUGUGUGUGAAGGGUUACUUACAGGAGCAUGGAUGAGUUGAAGGUAUCUGUACCGCUGAGAGCCCAUCCCAGCAUGGGUGAUGACCCAGGAAGGCUUGACCCUGGGGCUGUUUUCAGGGCUUGCGGGCGCCUCUGUGGACUGGAGAAGCUUUUCCAGGCAGUCUUUCAGAUCAGAAUCCACUCCCCUGUCAGCUGUUUGCUGCUUCUGUGAUACCGGGGAGGCCUUCCUGAAUCUUGUGAGUGAAAGCGUCAAUCCGUACACUGUUAUACGCAAC